UACGUAGGGCGCAAGCGUUGUCCGGAAUUAUUGGGCGUAAAGCGCGCGCAGGCGGUCCUUUAAGUCUGAUGUGAAAGCCCACGGCUCAACCGUGGAAGGUCAUUGGAAACUGGGGGACUUGAGUACAGAAGAGGAAAGCGGAAUUCCACGUGUAGCGGUGAAAUGCGUAGAGAUGUGGAGGAACACCAGUGGCGAAGGCGGCUUUCUGGUCUGUAACUGACGCUGAGGCGCGAAAGCGUGGGGAGCAAACAGG
rnacentral:rRNA from 1 species